rnacentral:rRNA from 1 species
UUGAACGCUGGCGGCAUGCUUUACACAUGCAAGUCGAACGGUAACAGGGAGCUUGCUCCGCUGACGAGUGGCGAACGGGUGAGUAAUGCAUCGGAACGUACCUAGUCGUGGGGGAUAACUAUCCGAAAGGAUAGCUAAUACCGCAUACGUCCCGAGGGAGAAAGCAGGGGAUCGCAAGACCUUGCGCGAUUAGAGCGGCCGAUGUCGGAUUAGCUAGUUGGUGGGGUAAAGGCCUACCAAGGCAACGAUCCGUAGCUGGUCUGAGAGGAUGAUCAGCCACACUGGGACUGAGACACGGCCCAGACUCCUACGGGAGGCAGCAGGGGGGAAUUUUGGACAAUGGGCGCAAGCCUGAUCCAGCCAUUCCGCGUGAGUGAAGAAGGCCUUCGGGUUGUAAAGCUCUUUCGGCAGGGAAGAAACGGCAGGCUCUAACAUAGCCUGCUAAUGACGGUACCUGAAGAAGAAGCACCGGCUAACUACGU